GCUCUCUUUGGCAACACAUAUACUAAAAUCGGAACGAUGCAGAGAAGAUCAGCAUGGCCCCUGCGCAAAGAUAACAUGCAAAUCUGUGAAGCGUUCCAUGUUUUU